UAUUCAGUCUGUGUGGUGGAGGGUAGUGGCGCCGCGCAAGACUAGUUACAGUGACCGGGCUGUGGAGAGGAGUAGGCCCGGAGAUUGGUUACUGAGACACGGACGCGGGCCGUAUGGGGCGCAGCAGGCGAGAAAACUUUGCAAUGUGCGAAAGCACGACAAGGUAAUCCGAGUGGUUUCUGUCUAUAGAUAACCUUUUGUCAGUCCUAGAAACACUGAUGAAUAAGGGGUGGGCAAGUUCUGGUGUCAGCCGCCGCGGUAAAACCAGCACCUCAAGUGGUCAGGAUGAUUAUUGGGCCUAAAGCAUCCGUAGCCGGCUCUGUAAGUUUUCGGUUAAAUCUGUACGCUCAACGUACAGGGCUGCACGGGAAUAGCUGCUAGAGCUUAUGGGAUGUGGGAUGAGGUAGUCUGGUAGCUCUGGUAUGGAAUGGGUGUAAUAAUCCUUGUUGAUGCGUAGUUGAUUGACGCAUCGCUGUAGGCAGAAGAGCUGGUCGUAGCCGAGAUAGCACAGUUCACGUACAGGUGAUCGGGAGUGAAGAGGCUGUGGGGUAGCUAUACCAGGAGUUAGAUAGCCCUGGGUAGUCACCAGCGUGUAAUACUAUGCAAACUCAGUGAUGCAGUUGGCUUGUGGCCAAUGCAGUGCUGCAGGGAAGCCGUUAAGUUUGCCGCCUGGGAGUACGUACGCAAGUAUGAAACUCAA
rnacentral:rRNA from 1 species